GACGAACGCUGGCGGCGUGCUUAACACAUGCAAGUCGAACGGAAGGCCCUGCUUUUGUGGGGUGCUCGAGUGGCGAACGGGUGAGUAACACGUGAGUAACCUGCCCUUGACUUUGGGAUAACUUCAGGAAACUGGGGCUAAUACCGGAUAGGAGCUCCUGCUGCAUGGUGGGGGUUGGAAAGUUUCGGCGGUUGGGGAUGGACUCGCGGCUUAUCAGCUUGUUGGUGGGGUAGUGGCUUACCAAGGCUUUGACGGGUAGCCGGCCUGAGAGGGUGACCGGCCACAUUGGGACUGAGAUACGGCCCAGACUCCUACGGGAGGCAGCAGGGGGAAUAUUGCACAAUGGGCGGAAGCCUGAUGCAGCAACGCCGCGUGCGGGAUGACGGCCUUCGGGUUGUAAACCGCUUUCGCCUGUGACGAAGCGUGAGUGACGGUAAUGGGUAAAGAAGCACCGGCUAACUACGUGCCAGCAGCCGCCGUAAGAC
rnacentral:rRNA from 1 species